rnacentral:rRNA from 1 species
CAAUAGCGUAUAUUAAAGUUGUUGCAGUUAAAAAGCUCGUAGUUGGACCUUGGGCCUGGACGGGCGGUCCGCCUCACGGCGUGUACUGUCUUGCCGGGCCUUUCCUCUUGGUGAUCUGUUGUUUCGGCAGCAGGGAACCAGGACCUUUACUGUGAAUAAAUUAGAGUGUUCAAAGCAGGCUUACGCCGUUGAAUAUGCUAGCAUGGAAUAAUAAGAUAGGACCUUGGUACUAUUUUGUUGGUUUGCGCACCGAGGUAAUGAUUAAUAGGGACAGUUGGGGGUAUUCGUAUUGCAUUGUCAGAGGUGAAAUUCUUGGAUUUUUGCAAGACGAACGACUGCGAAAGCAUUUACCAAGGAUGUUUUCAUUGA